UAAUGUUGGGGGAUUUAUAGUACAUGUAGAUGUUGCUCCAAAAAAAAAAAAAAAGUGUGUAAUCUGAUUCUGAGACUUUUCAAGGAGACUAAAAGUUCAACCUCCUAAUGAUAAGGAUAACAGCAAAGAAUACUGGGACCAAAUCUUGUGAGAGACAAUCUGAAGUUUCCUCAACACACUGUAUGAGAUGGGCUUCACAGAGACUCAGAUACAGGCCGGACACUACAGCAUCCCUGUGGUGGCCAAGUGAUGAGCAACCAACUCCGAGAUAUUCUUGACACAGUGCAGUCAUUACAUCAGUGACACUUCCAGUCCAGAAUGUUAUUCCAACCAUGCCCUUUCAGAGCCUUGAUUAAUGUAUUGGAAUGAACUGAAAGGACCAAAA